ensembl:lncRNA
GAGGGAGGGAGACCAGUUAUCUCUAGUCCCUGCAGUCCCCAAACUGAGAAGCCUUAUCUCUCAUUAACAUAACAGACCCAUCUAAACUCCAUGACAAGACAGGCUGCUGAUUGAUGUGCCAAUAGGAAGAGACCCUACCUUCCUCCCAGCUUGGACCUCAACAAAGAAACGAUUUUUUUUAAAAAAUGACCCACUGAUGUUUUGUCACAAAAUCAGUUACUCACACGGUCAGUCAACCACUUCUUCUUGGUGAGAAGAACAGAUGAGAAAUGGAAAGCUGAAGAAGUAAUUAGAAACCUACUUUGUCAGUGUCCCCUCUAGCUAGGAGACUUUUCUUUAGGAAAGACUCCUUGAAUUGUGAGAGAGGAAAGUGACUUAGCCAAUAUCUAACUAGAGUCCGUGAAGUAUUAACAGAGGGUUUUUUUUGGGAUAACAGUCAUAGGGUGGGUUGGGUCCAGAUGGUACAGUAUAACUAGUGGGGGCCUUUCAUGUAGACCCAAUGGGUAUGCUUCUGAGGGAUGGAUGAUGGGUCCUGAUUCAUCUGGAUGUUAACCUCCUAAAUCAGAUUAUCAAAUAUUCAAAGAGAUAGUACAAUAUUGGGAGAAUUAAACUAUGCUGAUAUCAGUUGCAAGUCAAAUAUUAAAGUAAAUAAAACUAUGCUGAUAUCAGUUGCAAGUCAAACAUUAAAGCAAAAGCAAAGUGUGUUGCUUAUAUACUACCACAUAGCAUUUAAAACACUCUCUGGAUGGUUUACAAUUUAAUUAUGCAGGCUACACAUUGCAUCCGCCCCCACCUCGUGAGCUGGAUACUCAUUACUUGUGGACAGCUCUCAAUAUAUUGCAUAAGUGAUUCAGAAGACUACACUGCCCGAGGGCAUGAGAGCUGGACUCUGGUGUUAAAUGUUAAAGAGGAGGCAAAGCUGCACAUGCUCUAGCAUUUGAAGGAUUUGUCUUCUCAGAAGUAAACAACAGUGUUCAGUGGUGCUUACUCCCAUGUGAGUGUGUGCCAGAUCCUGAUGACAAACAUAUUGACCAUGUAUAAGUUGAUUAGAUCUACUUGUAGUCCAGUCUACAAGGGAGUCACUGAGAGCUUUAGAACCUAGGAAUCAACCUAAUUAGGAAUCAACUAAAUUAAGAAACAAAUUAAUGGUAGAAACUGUUGUCUAAAAGCAGAAGAGAAAGGAAUGCUAAUUUCCAAAAAAUUAAAUUACAAUGAUGCCUCGACUUACGAACUUCAUUGGUUCCAGAACUCCAGUCGUAACUCAAAAUGGUCAUAAGUAGAAGCACCAUUUCCCAUAGGAAUGCAUUGAAAUGCAAUUAAUCUGUUCCAGCCAAAGGAAAAAAAACACCAAAACCCCCCAGAAAAAACACUGGAUUAAUCCGUUCCAGCCAAAGGGGAAAAAAAACACCAAAACCCCCCACAAAAAACACUGGAAGACCCAUCGGAAACGUGAUUAAUCCGUUCCGGCUGAAGGGGAAAAGAAAUAGAAAAGCAAACAAACCGUGCAAGACCCUUCAGAAAUGCGCACAACCCAAAGCAAAAAGCAAGCAAACUGUGCAAGUCCCAUCAGAAAUGCA